GUCCAGACUCCUACGGGAGGCAGCAGUAGGGAAUAUUGCGCAAUGGUGGAAACCCUGACGCAGCAACGCCGCGUGUAGGAUGACACUUUUCGGAGCGUAAACUCAUUUUCUUAGGGAAGAAUUCUGACGGUACCUAAGGAAUAAGCACCGGCUAAUUCCGUGACAGGAGCCGCGGUAAUACGGAGGGUGCAAGCGUUACUCGGAAUCAC
rnacentral:rRNA from 1 species